rnacentral:rRNA from 1 species
CUCAUUAAAUCAGUUAUAGUUUAUUUGAUGGUCUCUUUGUUCUUCUUUUUUACCUACUUGGAUAACCGUGGUAAUUCUAGAGCUAAUACAUGCGCAAAGGUCCCGAGCGCGGAGAGUGGGGCUUCACGGCUCCAUUCUUGCAUGCGUAGAGGGAUGUAUUUUAUUAGGUUAAAACAACCAGCAUUUUUAACAAUCAAUCUGGUGAUUCAUAGUAACUCUUUCGGAUCGCAUUCAUG